UACGUAGGGUGCAAGCGUUGUCCGGAAUUAUUGGGCGUAAAGAGCUCGUAGGCGGUCUGUUACGUCGGAUGUGAAAACCCGAGGCUUAACCUCGGGCCUGCAUUCGAUACGGGCAGACUCGAGUGUGGUAGGGGAGACUGGAACUCCUGGUGUAGCGGUGAAAUGCGCAGAUAUCAGGAAGAACACCGGUGGCGAAGGCGGUUCUCUGGGCCUGUACUGACGCUGAGGAGCGAAAGCGUGGGGAGCGAACAGG
rnacentral:rRNA from 1 species